rnacentral:rRNA from 1 species
UACGUAGGGUGCGAGCGUUGUCCGGAAUUACUGGGCGUAAAGGGCUCGUAGGUGGUUUGUCGCGUCGUCUGUGAAAUUCUGGGGCUUAACUCCGGGCGUGCAGGCGAUACGGGCAUAACUUGAGUGCUGUAGGGGUAACUGGAAUUCCUGGUGUAGCGGUGAAAUGCGCAGAUAUCAGGAGGAACACCGAUGGCGAAGGCAGGUUACUGGGCAGUUACUGACGCUGAGGAGCGAAAGCAUGGGUAGCGAACAGGAUUAGAUACCCUGGUAGUCCACGCCGUAAACGAUGAGUGCUAGGUGUUGGGGGUCAAACCUCGGUGCCGCAGCUAACGCAUUAAGCACUCCGCCUGGGGAGUACGUACGCAAGUAUGAAACUC